UGGGCUUGACAUGUUGGGAAAAGCCGU
rnacentral:rRNA from 1 species